rnacentral:rRNA from 1 species
CUGGGGGGGGUGGCCUAAUACAUGCAGUUGAGCGCUGAAGGUUGGUACUUGUACCAACUGGAUGAGCAGCGAACGGGUGAGUAACGCGUGGGGAAUCUGCCUUUGAGCGGGGGACAACAUUUGGAAACGAAUGCUAAUACCGCAUAAAAACUUUAAACAUAAGUUUUAAGUUUGAAAGAUGCAAUUGCAUCACUCAAAGAUGAUCCCGCGUUGUAUUAGCUAGUUGGUGAGGUAAAGGCUCACCAAGGCGAUGAUACAUAGCCGACCUGAGAGGGUGAUCGGCCACAUUGGGACUGAGACACGGCCCAAACUCCUACGGGAGGCAGCAGUAGGGAAUCUUCGGCAAUGGACGAAAGUCUGACCGAGCAACGCCGCGUGAGUGAAGAAGGUUUUCGGAUCGUAAAACUCUGUUGGUAGAGAAGAACGUUGGUGAGAGUGGAAAGCUCAUCAAGUGACGGUAACUACCCAGAAAGGGACGGCUAACUACGUGCCAGCAGCCGCGGUAAUACGUAGGUCCCGAGCGUUGUCCGGAUUUAUUGGGCGUAAAGCGAGCGCAGGUGGUUUAUUAAGUCUGGUGUAAAAGGCAGUGGCUCAACCAUUGUAUGCAUUGGAAACUGGUAGACUUGAGUGCAGGAGAGGAGAGUGGAAUUCCAUGUGUAGCGGUGAAAUGCGUAGAUAUAUGGAGGAACACCGGUGGCGAAGCGGCUCUCUGGCCUGUAACUGACACUGAGGCUCGAAAGCGUGGGGAGCAAACAGGAUUAGAUACUCUGGUAGUCCACGCCGUAAACGAUGAGUGCUAGAUGUAGGGAGCUAUAAGUUCUCUGUAUCGCAGCUAACGCAAUAAGCACUCCGCCUGGGGAGUACGACCGCAAAGGUUGAAACUCAAAGGAAAUUGACGGGGGCCCGCACAAGCGGGUGGAGCAUGUGGGUUUAAAUUCGAAGCAACGCGAAGAACCCUUACCAAGU